GGAGAGGUGGCCGAGCGGUUGAAGGCGCACGCCUGGAAAGUGUGUAUACGCUAGCCGCGUAUCGAGGGUUCGAAUCCCUCCCUCUCCGCCA
rnacentral:tRNA from 1 species